rnacentral:lncRNA from 1 species
UUUAAGUUCUGUUUUAUUGAGAACCACAAAAGGUAAGAACUAAGAGAGUCCUCCCAGGUCAUCAGGUCCCAUCCCUUGGUCUAAGGAUGGUGAAACCAUUGUCACAGCCAGCAGCUGCCGUGUUCUGGGACUGUCUCAUGGGGCAAUGUGUCCUCACCCCCAGCAGUGCCAGCCCAGGUCAGAAGGCUUCAUUCAGAAGGGGGGUGUCACAGCACCUGGCUGAGCCCCCAUGGAGGAUGGAGACCCACAGAUACACACAAACACACAGAGACAUCUCCAAAUCUCUGACUCAGACUCGCACACAGGCACACACAGACGCACGCUCAACACAGACACACGCAGGCCUUUAUUCUAUUACACAGAGUAGGGCUGGGGAGCAGGGAUGUAGUGCGGCUCGGAGCAGUGGGAGUUUGGUGGCGUGUGUGGAGGGGACAUGACACACUAGGCCCAGCAG